rnacentral:sRNA from 19 species
UCUUAGGGGUGCUAGGGUUCCGGUUCAUCAUCGAACGUCUGGUCCAAGAGCAGCCCGGCGCGAGUUCGUCCGGUCGCAAGACCGGAUGCACGCGUGCUACACGGCGGGACAAAAGCCCGGGAGAU